AUUGAACGCUAGCGGGAUGCUUUACACAUGCAAGUCGAACGGCAGCGCGGACUUCGGUCUGGCGGCGAGUGGCGAACGGGUGAGUAAUGUAUCGGAACGUGCCCAGUAGCGGGGGAUAACUACGCGAAAGCGUAGCUAAUACCGCAUACGCCCUACGGGGGAAAGCCGGGGAUCGUAAGACCUUGCACUAUUGGAGCGGCCGAUAUCGGAUUAGCUAGUUGGUGAGGUAACGGCUCACCAAGGCGACGAUCCAUAGCUGGUUUGAGAGGACGACCGGCCACACUGGAACUGAGACACGGCCCAGACUCCUACGGGAGGCAGCAGUGGGGAAUUUUGGACAAUGGGGGCAACCCUGAUCCAGCCAUCCCGCGUGUGCGAUGAAGGCCUUCGGGUUGUAAAGCACUUUUGGCAGGAAAGAAACGUCGCGGGCUAAUACCCCGUGGAACUGACGGUACCUGCAGAAUAAGCACCGGCUAACUACGUG
rnacentral:rRNA from 1 species